rnacentral:rRNA from 1 species
GGGGAAUUUUCCGCAAUGGGCGAAAGCCUGACGGAGCAAUACCGCGUGGGGGAGGAAGGCUCUUGGGUUGUAAACCUCUUUUCUCAGGGAAUAAGAACUGAAGGUACCUGAGGAAUCAGCAUCGGCUAACUCCGUGCCAGCAGCCGCGGUAAUACGGAGGAUGCAAGCGUUAUCCGGAAUGAUUGGGCGUAAAGCGUCCGCAGGUGGUUUAUCAAGUCUGCUGUCAAAGAGUUUGGCUCAACCAAAUAAAGGCAGUGGAAACUGACAGACUGGAGUGCGGUAAGGGCAGAGGGAAUUCCUGGUGUAGCGGUGAAAUGCGUAGAGAUCAGGAAGAACACCGGUGGCGAAAGCGCUCUGCUGGGCCGUAACUGACACUGAGGGACGAAAGCUANGGGAGCGAAUGGGAUUANAUACCCCAGUAGUC